CCCUUUCGACCGCGAGGCGCUGGUCCCUGCAAGUCUUGUACACGUGCUUUCCCAUCAAACUCAUAACUCAGUAGACACGAUGUCUGGAUGUGCUGUAGAUGCAGGAGGAGGAUGUUCUGACCUUCAUUGUAGCAGGAACCAACCUGGCUCUCAGAUGGAGCAGCAUCUGCAAAAGAUACUGACAGUAGUGUGUACUUAACAAUGUGAUGGAGACCUGGGAACAGCCAGAGCCAUUUGGUGCCUAUUGAACCUGGGCAUGUUGGCAUCCUCUCCUCCAGGAAUACAGAGCAGGUAGUGUGUACUUUAUACCGUGAUGCAGACCUGGGAACAGCCGGAGCCAUUUGGUGCCUCUUGAACCUGGGCAUGGUGGCAUCCUCUCCUCCAGGAAUACAGAGCAGGUAGUGUGUACUUAACAAUGUGAUGAAGACCUGGGAACAGCCAGAGCCAUUUGGUGCCUCUUGAACCUGGGCAUGUUGGCAUCCUCUCCUCCAGGAAUACAGAGCAGGUAGUGUGUACUUUAUACCGUGAUGCAGACCUGGGAACAGUCGGAGCCAUUUGGUGCCUCUAGAACCUGGGCAUGUUGGCAUCCUCUCCUCCAGGAAUACAGAGCAGGUAGUGUGUACUUAACAAUGUGAUGAAGACCUGGGAACAGCCAGAGCCAUUUGGUGCCUCUUGAACCUGGGCAUGUUGGCAUCCUCUCCUCCAGGAAUACAGAGCAGGUAGUGUGUACUUUAUACCGUGAUGCAGACCUGGGAACAGCCGGAGCCAUUUGGUGCCUCUAGAACCUGGGCAUGUUGGCAUCCUCUCCUCCAGGAAUACAGAGCAGGUAGUGUGUACUUAACAAUGUGAUGAAGACCUGGGAACAGCCAGAGCCAUUUGGUGCCUCUUGAACCUGGGCAUGUUGGCAUCCUCUCCUCCAGGAAUACAGAGCAGGUAGUGUGUACUUAACAAUGUGAUGAAGACCUGGGAACAGCCAGAGCCAUUUGGUGCCUCUUGAACCUGGGCAUGUUGGCAUCCUCUCCUCCAGGAAUACAGAGCAGGUGUGGUGUCUGUGACUCAGGAUGCCUCUCUGGAGGGAGAGGUCUGACAUCUCCUGGUAGCUUAUGAAGUCACGCCUGUUCUCUACAUCUACAGGAGAUUCGGAGGAGGGGUGUUGUGACCAGACGACCACUAAAGACUGGUCUCAAGUCGAGAAGAAACUCAUGAGAAAUGCACAAUGCUUUUGUUGCACGUCUCUGUCCUCAGAUCAUCCUGAUGUUUCUUUUAUCUCCUUUGUGUCAAAGGACAGAGGCUGUAGGAUGCUGUACAGAUUGUUAACUUCCCCGAGGAAGUUGAUGUUGGACUAUAUGAAUGAAACUGCACUAAGCUGAGAAAUCAAUAAAGAUGGCUGAUUAUUC